GGAUGGGAGGGGGAGAAGGGGAGAGGGAGGGGGCCAGGAGGGGAGAGGGGCGAGGGGAGGAUGUGGGCAAAGGAUGGAGAAGGGGUAGGGAGAGGGCAGGUGCAGGAGCAGGUGCAGGGCAGGAUGCCCGUUGCCCUCCCCCUGGCCCUGUGCAGCCCUCCCAGGGGGAUCCCAGCCUUCCCAUCCCCGGGGAGGCCACGUGGGGUAGGGCUGGGGGAGACCCCGCAGGGGAAAACCCCCUGUGAGCGACCGCAGCUGUGGUGGGGGAGAGAGGCAGGAAUAUAACCCUGGCCUCCUGCUCUUGCAACCAGCCGAGCCCACGUAAAAGGAGGAAAAAACGUCUGCGAACAGAUGCGGAGAAAAGGACAGCAGAUGUGCAAAAGUGAAAUGGUGCGUCAAAAGCAUCCGAGCUGGGGAAACCCCCCCUGCAUUUCCUGCUCAGCCCCAUCGCCCAAACUCUGCUCAUCUCUGGCUCCAGCUUCAUGGUGGUGCAUCCCUGCUCCUCACCCCCCUGGGGCUCUGCUCACAUCUCCAGCUGUGUUUGGUCCGUCAGAGGUGCAGAGGAAUUCUUUGUCUUAAUUUCUGGAGAAUUUUUGAUACAGCAUCUUAAAAUGUUUUACCUCUUAAGUGAUGGAGAUGUAAAGAUGUGGAGCUUGUCCUAUGGAUUUGCCUGAGCUGAUAAUGGAUUUGAUAACGUGCCAAAGGGAGAAGAUAUGGAAAAGAAGGACAGAGGUGGCCUGGAAGAAAUCAGUCUGCCAUCUCUGCUUCCCUGUCUCAAGGUAUCCGUCCCAGGAGCACGUUAGUUGUAGUGUAGCAGUACACUCCCCACCACAUCCACAGCCAAGCAUCCUCCCAGAAGGACCAGGCUCAUCCAUGACCCCUGUAGCAGUCUCAGGGGAUAGGAGAGGCCUGAAAUUCAUUCACCAGAGCUACAGAAAGACAUGAGGUGUGUGCGAGGCAAUGAAGUGUGUGCAGGUAAAGGUGCAUUGCAGAAGAGAUGCAAAAAUCCUCACCAGACCAUGGUUCCUGUCCUGGUGCAAGCCACAGAUGCCUCCUCAAAAAGAGACCUGCCCUCACACCAUGGUGAGGAAGGGUGGCCCGGGGGACACAGCCCUGUCCCCUGCACCACCAGGGCUCUGUGCAGCUGAGAUCAUUCUCCUUGGCAGCAUCUGGUGUAAAUCUCCCUCAUCUCUGCUCAUCUCUCAUCUGGGGCCAUCUCUUUUUGCUCCCACCUCUGUUGAGCUUGGCCAGCCUGGAUCAGGAGCUCUGCAAGCAGCUGAUGCUGCUGGUGGCUUUUCUUGUCAAAUCAAAGGGCACCAGGAUCAUGCUUGGCUGGGGCUCACUGGUGGGCACAAGGUUGUUUCUGAAAGGCUGAGGCCACCUAUGCCUCCAUCCAUCAUCAGAGCUGAGAAUUACCAUGGCAAUGACAGUAAUAGACAAUGACAAGGAGGUUGGUAAUCAUAUUAGUGUUAUUAUUAACUAACAUUAUCAUCAUUAUAGCAUUCCUGUUAUAUGGAUUACUAUUUCCUUGGGUUUGGAGGCUGUGAUCACUUUAGUUUGUCUGAAAUCCUGAUUUUACGGGUCAUGUUAACACUCACAGAUACACCUGCAACGAUUUUGUGUGUGUGCUAGCUGGCCAUUUAAUAUUUCACACCGGGAUGGAUUUACGAUGUGUUGCCUCUCUGUCAGGAGCUGUGGGAGUGUUCAGACACAUACUUCUGAGCUGCUCGCUUUUAUCAAUCUACAUAAAUCAUUAAAACUUGGGGCUUAAUGAAUGCAAAUGCAGUGCCGCAGAAGGGAAGUCAGUUGGCUGGAGGCACUCUGCGAGCUGGAAUCGCUCCAUCGACCGAGACUGCUGAAAGAUGUUUCUUCAAGUUCAGUCCUGUAAGUCACCUGGGACGUGAGAUGAUCACGAUGAUCUUUGGGCUAAAUCUGUGCAGACACAAACCUCAUUAACACCGAUCAAACGAAACUGCCCUCGUUUCUCCAAGAUCCACGCAGCUGACUGGGAAAGCAGGGGAGUUGUGGUACAUCCAUCACGGGAAGUCCGGGUCUGGCAACAUGUAAAUUUUUAAUAUCGUUAAGUGUGCAUGCACUUACGAGAUUGGGUUAGCAUAGUCAUAAACAAUUUAUUUAAAGACACGCUGUCUGACAGAUUUCUGGUGCCUUAAUGAUCAUUUCCUAAUAUUGCUCUUAUAAAUACUUCCAUGAUUCACAUCUCCUGUUGCAGAACAAGCAACAAAUCUCUAGGAAGGAAGUUCAGAACUGGAUUUUUUUUUUCCUAAAAGAUGCUCUUUAGAGUUGUAUUAUAACUCUGAUUUGAGCCAGAAACUCAUUCACAGGAAACAUAACAAACAGCCAAUACGGAUGUUUUUUCAAGUGCUCAUUUGCAGUGGGAAAUGCAUUUCAGAAAGUCUCCCCAGUGAUUUUCACCAGACUUUGUGUUGCUCUACCUCUGUAAGAUCCCAUUGGUUUUGCAAAGUAGAGCAUCAGUAUCCGUCCUGCUUAGCUUUGCCAGGUGUAUUUGUCAUUACAAGAGCAAGGGAUCCCUUAAAUGAAAGGAUCAGGUAGGAAGCUGAAAGCAAACUCUUGCCCAGCUCCUGAUUAAACAGUGGCAAAUCGUUUCCAGAGGACUUUGCAGAGCCUGAAAGUAUAACCGUGUUCAAAGAGGGAUUAGACAAAUUCCUGAAUGACAUAUGCCUCGGCGGCUGUUAAACCCGAUAAUCUCAAUGCAAACCUCUUGUUCGGGAUGUCCCUGAGCUGGGGAUUUCCAGCAGCCAGGGGAACAUUGUGGAGGGAGCGAUUGCUGCCCUGUGUGUCCUGCUCGCCUCUCCAUAGCGCAGCCACUGUGCCUGUACCGGCACCACAGUGCGUGGCCGUAGCUCUGCACUGACAGGAAAUAAAACCAGGAGCUCUGCUGCUGAGGAUGUACUAAGUGUGAUGUGGUACUAUUAAAAGAGCAAAGGAAGAGCUGUACCUUCUCUUUCAGCUGUUUUCUGAAGGAUUUCUGGAGGCUCUGAGCUCUUUUUUAUCAGACCCUUGCCAUUAGGUGAUGCACUGCAAUUUCUUCCUAAGAUGGAGAGAAACAAAGUGAUUUCUUGCACUCCACUCAAGUUUUAUUUGAAAGAAAAGUGACAUUACAUGGGAAAAAAAAAUCAUAGGAAAGCCCACAGACUUCAUUAUCCAAGGAGAUCAGUUGCUGAAGCUCAGUGCAGCAGCCGUAGGCACCUUCUCAGUCUGAACAGCCCCCGGCAGCCGACCGGGCUGAGGGAGCACCAA